UCCACGCCGUAAACGAUGUCGAUUUGGAGGCUGUGUCCUUGAGACGUGGCUUCCGGAGCUAACGCGUUAAAUCGACCGCCUGGGGAGUACGGCCGCAAGGUUAGAACUCAAAUGAAUCGACGGGGGCCCGCACAAGCGGUGGAGCAUGUGGUUUAAUUCGACGCAGCGCGAAGAACCUUACCUGGGCUUGACAUCCCCGGACAGCCCUGGAAACAGGGUCUUCCACUUCGGUGGACCGGGUGACAGGUGCUGCAUGGCUGUCGUCAGCUCGUGUCGUGAGAUGUUGGGUUAAGUCCC
rnacentral:rRNA from 1 species